rnacentral:rRNA from 1 species
GAGUUUGAUCAUGGCUCAGGACGAACGCUGGCGGCGUGCCUAAUACAUGCAAGUCGAGCGGAUCUUUGGGAGCUUGCUCCCAAAGGUUAGCGGCGGACGGGUGAGUAACACGUGGGCAACCUGCCUAUAAGACUGGGAUAACUUCGGGAAACCGGAGCUAAUACCGGAUAAUUCUUUUCCUCUCAUGAGGAAAAGACUGAAAGACGGUUUCGGCUGUCACUUAUAGAUGGGCCCGCGGCGCAUUAGCUAGUUGGUGAGGUAACGGC